rnacentral:rRNA from 1 species
CCCCCCGCGCCCGUCCCGGCCGCCCCCGCCCCCUACGGGAGGCAGCAGGGGGGAAUAUUGGGCAAUGGGCGCAAGCCUGAUCCAGCAAUGCCGCGUGUGUGAAGAAGGCCUGUGGGUUGUAAAGCACUUUGAGUAGGAAAGAAGGGGCAUAAGUUAAUACCUUGUGUCAUUGACGUUACCUACAGAACAAGCACCGGCUAACUCCGUGCCAGCAGCCGCGGUAAUACGGAGGGUGCAAGCGUUAAUCGGAAUUACUGGGCGUAAAGCGCGCGUAGGCGGUYAUAUAAGUCUGAUGUGAAAGCCCUGGGCUCAACCUGGGAACUGCAUUGGAAACUGUAUGACUWGAGUGUGGUAGAGGGUAGYGGAAUUUCCGGWGUAGCAGUGAAAUGCGUAKAKAUCRGAAGGAACACCAGUGGCGAAGGCRGCUACCUGRACCAACACUGACGCUGAGGACGAAAGCUGGGGAGCCAAAAGGAUUAGAACCCGGGAAGCCAAA